UACGGGGGGUGCAAGCGUUAUUCGGAAUCAUUGGGCGUAAAGGGCGCGUAGGCGGCCCCUUAAGUCAGAUGUGAAAGCCCUCAGCUUAACUGAGGAAGUGCAUUUGAAACUAAGGGGCUUGAGUAUGGGAGAGGGAAGCGGAAUUCCUGGUGUAGCGGUGAAAUGCGUAGAUAUCAGGAGGAACACCGGUGGCGAAGGCGGCUUCCUGGACCAAUACUGACGCUGAGGCGCGAAGGCGUGGGGAGCAAACAGG
rnacentral:rRNA from 1 species